GUUUUUACUUUGAUCCAUUUACGCCUUCCUGUUAUGUAUUUCUGUUUUAGGGUUAAAUUAAGUUUAAACCGUAGGUAACACUUGGGCAGGAAGUAUUCAGAAAGGAAUUGGUAAUAAAGCUGAAUAAAGCAUAAAAAAUGGAUUUAAAGACGAUGAUUGGAUUCAAUUUGCUGAUAGUUAUGGCAGUAUAUGUUGACGCUCAGUGUACUAUGGAUCGAUCUUAUAUCGACGAAGAUCUAGACAAAGAUAAGUUCCAGGGAAAAUGGUUUGUGACCUCUUGGUACUAUCAUGGAACUGGACAAGGGAAAGCGCCUAUGUUGGAAAAUGCACAGACCGUGUAUACCCUAAGGAAUGACGGCAACUGGAACAUAACUUACGCUGUAGGUGUGUUAGAUGGUCUUUGUUAUAAGAACCCCGCAAUGGCUACCAUCGACAAAAACACCGACAGAAAAAUCUGGGUUUUUGAUUUUUUCCUCCACCAAAUUCUUGCUACGGAUUACGAUAACUUUGCUGUACUCUACCAAUGUAAGAACGGUAUGGAGUUUUGUUCCAAAGCUAAUACCCAGUUAGUGGUACUUGGCCGCAAACCACAAGCAAACCCUGGUUCAAAGGAUGCUGUUGACAAAGCUGUUGAGAAUGCUUGCAUAGCAGUGUCAGAUAUGUUGGAUGUGACCCAGAAUCAAAGCUGUCUUUGCGACACUGACGUGAUAUCCGGUAUUUUUGAAGCCUGUCAACUAGAAUAAUUGACUUAAAAUUAUGAUUUACUUAUAUUCUCAAUACGAAAAACCCUACUUUCGAUUGCAAAAUCAACGAAGAAAAUAACAGGGUGAACAUGGAAAUAAGUUAUAGGGUUAUUGACCUUGUUUACUUCCUGCACUGGUUUGUUCUAUGUAUUGAUUUUUAAUUAAAUAUAACAAAGUGUA